UAGGGAAUCUUCGGCAAUGGGGGCAACCCUGACCGAGCAACGCCGCGUGAGUGAAGAAGGUUUUCGGAUCGUAAAGCUCAGUUGUAAGAGAAGAACGUGUGUGAGAGUGGAAAGUUCACACAGUGACGGUAACUUACCAGAAAGGGACGGCUAACUACGUGCCAGCAGCCGCGGUAAUACGUAGGUCCCGAGCGUUGUCCGGAUUUAUUGGGCGUAAAGCGAGCGCAUGCGGUUUAAUAAGUCUGAAGUUAAAGGCAGUGGCUUAACCAUUGUUCGCUUUGGAAACUGUUAAACUUGAGUGCAGAAUGGGAGCGUGGAAUUCCAUGUGUAGCGGUGAAAUGCGUAGAUAUAUGGAGGAACACCGGUGGCGAAAGCGGCUCUCUGGUCUGUAACUGACGCUGAGGCUCGAAAGCGUGGGGAGCAAACAGG
rnacentral:rRNA from 1 species